AAACUUUCAACAACGGAUCUCUUGGUUCUGGCAUCGAUGAAGAACGCAGCGAAAUGCGAUACGUAAUGUGAAUUGCAGAAUUCCGUGAAUCAUCGAAUCUUUGAACGCACAUUGCGCCCGCCAGCAUUCUGGCGGGCAUGCCUGUUCGAGC
rnacentral:rRNA from 3 species